UACGAAGGGGGCUAGCGUUGCUCGGAAUUACUGGGCGUAAAGGGCGCGUAGGCGGACAGUUAAGUCAGAGGUGAAAUCCCAGGGCUCAACCCUGGAAUUGCCUUUGAGACUGGACUGCUAGAAUCUUGGAGAGGUGAGUGGAAUUCCGAGUGUAGAGGUGAAAUUCGUAGAUAUUCGGAAGAACACCAGUGGCGAAGGCGGCUCACUGGACAAGUAUUGACGCUGAGGUGCGAAAGCGUGGGGAGCAAACAGG
rnacentral:rRNA from 1 species